rnacentral:rRNA from 1 species
CGGAGGGUGCAAGCGUUAUCCGGAUUCACUGGGUUUAAAGGGUGCGUAGGUGGGUUAGUAAGUCAGUGGUGAAAUCCCCGAGCUUAACUUGGGAACUGCCAUUGAUACUAUUAAUCUUGAAUACCGUGGAGGUCAGCGGAAUAUGUCAUGUAGCGGUGAAAUGCUUAGAUAUGACAUAGAACACCAAUUGCGAAGGCAGCUGGCUACGCGAAUAUUGACACUGAUGCACGAAAGCGUGAGGAUCAAACAGGAUUAGAUACCCUGGUAGUCCACGCCCUAAACUAUGGAUACUCGACAUCAGCGAUACACUGUUGGUGUCUGAGCGAAAGCAUUAAGUAUCCCACCUGGGAAGUACGAUCGCAAGAUUG